rnacentral:rRNA from 1 species
CAGCCGCCGCGGUAAUACGAAGGGUGCAAGCGUUAAUCGGAAUUACUGGGCGUAAAGCGUGCGUAGGCGGUGAGUUAAGUCUGCUGUGAAAUCCCCGGGCUCAACCUGGGAAUGGCAGUGGAUACUGGCUCGCUAGAGUGUGUCAGAGGAUGGUGGAAUUCCCGGUGUAGCGGUGAAAUGCGUAGAGAUCGGGAGGAACAUCAGUGGCGAAGGCGGCCAUCUGGGACAACACUGACGCUGAGGCGCGAAAGCGUGGGGAGCAAACAGGAUUAGAUACCCGCGUAGUCCCUGUCUCUUAUAC